GAUUGUCGGGAGUUAGGAAAUGCGGAGGUGUUAAUAGCGCUUUCGCUUGACUAAAGCUCCAGAGGAAGCCACGGCUAACUCUGUGCCAGCAGCCGCGGUAAUACAGAGGCGGCAAGCGUUGUUCGGAAUUAUUGGGCGUAAAGAGCACGUAGGCGGCUCUGCAAGUCAGCUGUGAAAGCCUUCUGCUUAACGGAAGAACGGCAGUUGAAACUACAGGGCUUGAGUGCGGGAGGGGAGAGGGAA
rnacentral:rRNA from 1 species